UAGUCUUGCAUGCGACAUCAACGAAGAGAGAUCGUCUUGACCGUGAGGGCUCCCAAUUUUACGGUGAAAGAAAACUACUACCCCACCCCCUCAAGUUACAGUCCACCGCUAGAGACACGACAAGAACACAGAUCGAACACAAAUGAGCCAGUUCGAACGCGUUCGAUGAAUUCCACACCAACAGCACACGUAUGAACACUGCUGGACAAAUUCGACGGCGUUCGAGGAAUUGAAUUGUAUAGGCCUCGCUACACGAACCGAAAACUCGAGGCGAAAACUCAAAAAUCAGACAUCUUUACGUCAAAAAGAUUUCGGGUCGUGUAGACGCGUUUUGUGCACCACCGAAAACACAAAGCCGCUGUCAAUUGAAGCAAGCGUUUGUUUACAAGCAGAAUCGUUUACGCGUUGUUAUCGAUCGUGUGUAAAUUUAGCCGGAUAAAAAUGGAUAAUCUUUUAAUGAGUGAAGAAUGGUUGGCUUCGCUAUCGUGGGCGGUAGAACUAAACGUGGAACAGCUAAGGGGUCGCAACUAGCGAAUUGUGCGCAGCUGGUGGAUGCGACCAAUGUUUUUCCAGCGACGUCAAGACGGCAACCGUUUGUUGGAUGAUAUUGUCGCAGAACGGACCAACGAAACAAUUAAUACCUUCAUUCGCGUAAUACCAGAAGAUUUGGAAUUUUUAUUUUUAUGGGCGAUGUCAUCACCACUCAAGAAAGAUUGAUAAUAUUGCUUCACUACAUAACUACAGGCCAUACCUUCAGUAGCUUGCAAUUUUUAUUUCAGGUGUCUCGUUCUUCGAUUAGCAGAAUUGUGAAAGAGACGAGUCUUUGUUUAUAAAGUGUUACGUCCCUAUUUGAAGAUAUGCGUUUGAAUAGUGUUUGAUGUACUAAAAAGUUCAUGUUUUAUUAUAUUUUGAUUCAUGUGUGAUUCAUGUCAUCUUACAACUCAAGUUAAACUAAUUAUUCAAUUAUUUUUUAAUUCAUUUUUCAUUUUCAUUCAAAACAAUUCAAAACAUAAACACUACCUUAAAGCUACAAUAAAAAAUCAAAGUAGUAACUAAAACAAAAUUCUAAAUAAACCCUAUCCUAUCCUAAUUCUAUACUAUAUGGUAACUAUUUACAAGACUAUCUACUAUCUAACUAACUAUUAACUUAUUAUAUACAACUAUUUACAUAACUCAUGGCUGAUCCCCAUCGCGACGGUUGGCCCGGUUGGCCAACACAAACUCCUCGGCAUCUAGCAUGGUUCGCUGAAUCCUUGAGUUCACAACACGCUAUUCCUCUGGCGUGAACCUCGUCAGGAAUUCAGCGACCCAGCGGCCAAACACAUUCUCCGAUGAGUUUGCAUUGGCCAUCGUGGCUUCCGCCACGCGUGUGAGGGCCUCGCUCAUACGAAGCCCCUCGUCACUAGUCACUAGUUCGUCGACGACGCCGUCCUUGCCGAGGAUGGGACAGGUUUUGGAUGGGAGAGGCUUGGGAAGGACGGGAGACUUGAUGAGGAAAGGAUACCUGAGAAGGGCAGGGAAGGGGAGAAUUUCGGGAUGGUGUAGGAUGACGGAUUGGUUGAUGGAGGUUGGAGGUUGAUUGGGACUAAAGAGGUUCGCUAGGAUUGAAGGAUUGGGUGGAAAAAGUGUUUGUAGGGUCGGGACUAAGGGAACAAGGUGGAUCAUACUCAAUGUAUGAGUGAUCGGCAAGGAUCCGGGAUCGUGCAACUGCCGAACCCGUUGUGACGAGGGAGUUCAGAGCAAGGCCCUCAUCUUCCUCGUCAAGCUGAAAUGAAAAAUGGGUACAAAAUUAUUAGAAAUAAUAAUGGAAAAAAAUCUUGUUUGCAAUAUAGAAAAUGUAUGUUUAUAUUAAUAAUCCUUUCAUCUACAUAAAAAUACUUUAUACACAGUAAAAUUAUGGGAUAAUCUCGCGUCUUUUUUUUAAAUUUAACAUUUAUUAUUACUAAUAAAUAGUCUAAGGUUCAUUAUGUUUACUUUACAAAGGCUUUCGUUUUAAUUGAAAUGCACGCCAAUUCAAUGUUCUUUUUUUAUUUUCAGCUACCGUCCACUAAACAACAAUGGCUGGAGGUAUCACAAAGGUUUGAGCAGCGUUGGAACUUCCCCCAUGCCAUUGGUGCGAUGGACGGAAAGCAUGUCAAAAUCCGCGCUCCUGUACACAGUGGAUCCGAUUACUACAAUUACAAAAACUUUUUUAGUAAUGUGCUUCUAGUAAUAGUGGACGCUGACUACAAUUUUCUGUUCGCGGAUGCGGGAGGAAAAGGAGGCAUUUCGGAUGGAGGAAUACUUCGAAACAGUCGAUUGUUUCAAAAACUGGAAAACAAGUUGUUGAAUAUACCUGAUCCAGAGCCUUUGCGAGUACCAUAUAGAGUUCCAGUACCGUACUUCUUGCUAGGAGACUAGGCUUUCGCCUAUACCGAUUACUGCAUCCGUCCAUUUGGUGGAAUCCAUUCACCUGGAAGUUAUCAGCGCAUUUUCAACUAUAGACAUUCCCGAGCUCGAAUCCCCGUUGAAAAUGCGCUGGGAAUUGUGACAAACAAAUUCGAAGUAUUAAGUGGGCCAAUACGUCUUCCACCGGAUGUAGCAAAACACGUUGUUUUAACGCCAUUAUAUUUACACAAUUUCUUGCGUAAAAGUGCUUCAAGGCAUAUCUACUCGCCACCAUCUUCAUUCGACAGAGUCGUUAACGGAAACUUGGUACCUGGCGAUUGGAGAGCCAAUGAAGGGUUAGCAGGUCUGCAAGGUGUUUCGUCAAGGGCACCUGAUCGAUUGUUGAAUAUUCGAACGCAUAUGGCACUAGACUUUAAACAUAAUUAUAAUCAUUAUGGUUGAACUAUUAACCAUAAUGGUCAGGUCGUUGCACAACAUGUCAAAUAAGAAUAAGCCAUUGAAAUACAACGAAUUUGUUUGAAUUGAUUUAUCAACGACAUCGUCCUUAACCUUCACUAAUAACAUGUUAUGAUAUUGAUGUGAUAUUAUCUAUAUAUUUGACAUUAACCAUACAAAUUGACCAACACGCUGAAACAGCUACUUUAACGAUGAAAUGAGUUUCAUUGUGAUUGUUGGACUCUCAAAACAUGAAGACUAACAUAAAAAAAAUCAACAGAAAUAUGAAAUAAAAUGAAAUAUAACUACAUUAAUCGAUUAUAAACGGUUUAUUGGCAACAGUUGAUUUACUGAUCAAUGAAGACAAAUAAUUAUAUUCCUUAACUAGUAAAAACAUAUAUAAUAUUUUAAUAUUGAUGUAAUAUAUUGAUAAUAUAAUAUUGAGAGGCUUUACUCUGGUAAACUUAGGGUUCGGAGGUGAAAAUAAAGUAUUUAAUAAAAACAAAA